rnacentral:rRNA from 1 species
GAUGAACGCUGGCGGCGUGCCUAACACAUGCAAGUUGAGCGUGAAGUUUAUAUUGAUUCUUCGGAUGAUUUAUAAAUGGAAAGCAGCGGACGGGUGAGUAACGCGUGGAUAACCUGCCCUAUACUCCAGGAUAACAUACCGAAAGGUAUGCUAAUACUGGAUAAUAUACAUUAGUCGCAUGGCUUUUGAUCAAAGAUUACGGUAUAGGAUGGAUCCGCGUUCCAUUAGCUAGUGUGGGUAAGCUACAGCGACGAUGGAUAGCCGACCUGAGAGGGUGAUCGGCCACACUGGAACUGAGACACGGUCCAGACUCCUACGGGAGGCAGCAGUGGGGAAUAUUGCACAAUGGGCGAAGCCUGAUGCAGCAGCCGCGUGGGAGAA